CCUACGGGGUGCAGCAGUGGGGAAUAUUGGACAAUGGGCGAAAGCCUGAUCCAGCCAUGCCGCGUGUGUGAAGAAGGCCUUCGGGUUGUAAAGCACUUUCAGUGGGGAAGAAAGCCUUGGGGCUAAUACCCUCGAGGAAGGACAUCACCCACAGAAGAAGCACCGGCUAACUCCGUGCCAGCAGCCGCGGUAAUACGGAGGGUGCGAGCGUUAAUCGGAAUUACUGGGCGUAAAGCGCGCGUAGGCGGUCUGAUAAGCCGGUUGUGAAAGCCCCGGGCUUAACCUGGGAACGGCAUCCGGAACUGUCAGGCUAGAGUGCAGGAGAGGAAGGUAGAAUUCCCGGUGUAGCGGUGAAAUGCGUAGAGAUCGGGAGGAAUACCAGUGGCGAAGGCGGCCUUCUGGACUGACACUGACGCUGAGGUGCGAAAGCGUGGGUAGCAAACAGGAUUAGAUACCCGAGUAGUC
rnacentral:rRNA from 1 species